UAAGGAAUAUUGGACAAUGGGGGCAACCCUGAUCCAGCCAUGCCGCGUGAAGGAUGAAGGCGCUAUGCGUUGUAAACUUCUUUUGAACGGGAGAAAACCCACCUACGUGUAGGUGGCUGAUAGUACCGUUAGAAUAAGGAUCGGCUAACUCCGUGCCAGCAGCCGCGGUAAUACGGAGGAUCCAAGCGUUAUCCGGAUUCAUUGGGUUUAAAGGGUGCGUAGGCGGACUGAUAAGUCAGCGGUGAAAUCUCUCGGCUUAACCGAGAAACUGCCGUUGAUACUGUCAGUCUUGAGUACAGAUGAUGUGGGCGGAAUAUGACAUGUAGUGGUGAAAUACUUAGAUAUGUCAUAGAACACCGAUUGCGAAGGCAGCUCACAAAACUGUGACUGACGCUGAGGCACGAAAGCGUGGGGAUCAAACAGGAUUAGAUACCCGCGUAGUCC
rnacentral:rRNA from 1 species